rnacentral:rRNA from 1 species
AUUGAACGCUGGCGGCAUGUCUUACACAUGCAAGUCGAACGGUAACAGGUUAAGCUGACGAGUGGCGAACGGGUGAGUAAUACAUCGGAACGUGCCCAGACGUGGGGGAUAGCUCGGCGAAAGCCGGAUUAAUACCGCAUAAGCUCUGAGGAGGAAAGCGGGGGACCGUAAGGCCUCGCGCGUUUGGAGCGGCCGAUGGCAGAUUAGGUAGUUGGUGGGGUAAAGGCUUACCAAGCCUACGAACUGUAGCUAGUCUGAGAGGACGGCAGGCCACACUGGGACAGAGAACCGGCCCAGACGCCUACGGGAGGAAGCGGUGGGGAAGUUUGGACAAUGGGCGAAAGCCUGAUCCAGCAAUGCCGCGUGCAGGAUGAAGGCCUUCGGGUUGUAAACUGCUUUUGUACGGAACGAAAAGGCGCCUACUAAUACUGGGUGUUGAUGACGGUACCGUAAGAAUAAGCACCGGCUAACUACGUGCCAGCCGCCGCAGUAAAAC